AUUGAACGCUGGCGGCAGGCCUAACACAUGCGAGUCGAACGGUAACAGGAAGAAGCUUGCUUCUUUGCUGACGAGUGGCGGACGGGUGAGUAAUGUCUGGGAAACUACCUGAUGGAGGGGGAUAACUACUGGAAACGGUAGCUAAUACCGCAUAAUGUCGCAAGACCAAAGAGGGGGACCUUCGGGCCUCUUGCCAUCGGAUGUGCCCAGAUGGGAUUAGCUAGUAGGUGGGGUAACGGCUCACCUAGGCGACGAUCCCUAGCUGGUCUGAGAGGAUGACCAGCCACACUGGAACUGAGACACGGUCCAGACUCCUACGGGAGGCAGCAGUGGGGAAUAUUGCACAAUGGGCGCAAGCCUGAUGCAGCUAUGCCGCGUGUAUGAAGAAGGCCUUCGGGUUGUAAAGUACUUUCAGCGGGGAGGAAGGGAGUAAAGUUAAUACCUUUGCUCAUUGACGUUACCCGCAGAAGAAGCACCGGCUAACUCCGUG
rnacentral:rRNA from 1 species